UAGAGUGAUGGAAUUGAGGAAUUUUUUUCAAUUGUGUUGAUUUUUUUAUAUUCAUAUUAUAUAUACAUAUAUUGGUGGAUAUUUUAACCCAAUUACAACAAAAAAGUGCAGUUUGAAAACACAAACAAAUAAUCUAUUGAAAAUUUUAAACAAUUUUCGCAAAUGCAUCAAAUAAAAAGUGAAAAUACAAAACAACAUCAUCGAUUUGAUCAAAAAGAAGAACGUCGUAGUGGAAAAGAGUGAAAAAGUUACGAAAAAAUAAAAAUGGCGCCCGCGACGACGACGAUGUCUUGACUUUCUUUUUUUCUGUUAAAAUUUAUAAUUUCGCAUUCGUUGUGGCCAAUAAAUUAUCGAAAUCGGAAGUUCUAUUUGGAAAAGAAUUGCCAAAAACAAAUGUGAAAAACUAACUGAAGAAGAAAAGAUUUACCCAUUGAAUUUGUGGAGAGGAGGCGAAACAACACACAAACGCUUCUUGUUGGGAGCACCACCAUCAUCAUACACGACAACGACGACGACAAGAAGAUAGGCCAUUUCAUUUGCUUGCCCACCACAACACAGAGUUUUUGUUCGUUUUUAUUUUAUUUUUUGAUUAAGUUUUCAUUCAUACGUGUUUGUGCGUGUGUGGUUUUAUUUGAUUUAUACGAACGGAGAAGGAGGCCUUGAGGAUGUGUGCUGCUCAAAGUAAUCCGACACAAAGUUUUGGUCCUUACACAUGGGGUUUUGCUGCUGAUAAUACUCGAGCGGAUUCCGUAUUGGAGAUAUCGCCCAAUAUAAACUACACUGUCAGCAGUGAGUCUAUGCCAUAUUUAUUAUCAACUGAUGGAUCGUUAACUGUACAAAAAGAUGUAAAAGGCGGCUUAGCUGGUAAUAAAAGCGUCGUACGACGUAUGGUCUUGGUCAAUGAUCCCUUUGCUACGGGUGGCCAAAGAGUUAUAACCGGCGGAGGUUCAACAGUUGUCAAAAAGCCCGAUCAACAAGUACUCAGUUUGAAUUGUGACAAAAAUUAUCUGCUGGUCGAUCAGACGGACCAAUCACAUCUUAGUAACGGCUUGGUUGACUCGAAAGCACAAACUAUACUAACGUCUGCGGGUAAAACACAUUUUAGCCCUAUUGGUCCAUUGCACCUAACGGCCGAGGAGUGCAAUGAGAUCCUAAUGAAGCGUGCCUUGGCCGCUUCACAUCCUCAGUCGAUAACAGCGAAUGAUGGUCAUACGACCUCAGCAAGCCAUGCAAUGUUAGGUGACAUUCUGCCUGGUAUUUCAGUGCAAGUUCAGAAAGUCAUACAAGGUCUGGAAGAUAAUGAUGAAUCACAAGGUGACACACCGAAUCUAAAAUUGGAACCAGGUACAUUGGAACUAUCCCCGAAGACAGAAUUACAAGAAUCAAUGCAUUUUAGUGAUAACGAUACCACAAUUAAGAAGGAGCGCCCUUACAGUUGUGAGGAGUGCGGUAAAUCAUUUUUACUGAAACAUCAUUUAACCACUCAUGCUAGAGUGCAUACAGGCGAGCGGCCUCACAUCUGUACACACUGUGGCAAGAGUUUUGCCCACAAACACUGUCUUAACACACAUUUACUGUUACACUCCACCGAUCGUCCCUAUCAGUGUACAGAGUGCAAGAAGAGUUUUACCCUGAAACAUCAUCUGUUGACACACUCACGUGUCCAUACACGCGAACGGCCGUUUAUAUGUCAGGAAUGCGGGCGUACGUUUCCUCUCAAGCGCCACUUGGUGACACACAGUAAAUUCCAUGCCGGCGAACGGCCGUACGUCUGCGAUGAGUGUGGUGAAAGUUUUGCCCAAGAAAACCACCUUAUUAUGCAUUCACGUUUUCAUGGCUCUGUGAAUCCAUUUGUUUGUCAAGAUUGUGGUAUAACAUUUCCUCGUAAAUUUCAAUUGGUCAACCACUCUCGCAUACACGGCAAAAUACCACACUCAUGUACGGUCUGUGGAAAGGAGUUCUUACAGAAGCGCACUCUGGUGGCACAUAUGCGCGUUCAUACUGGUGAUCAGCCAUAUCCUUGCAUUAGUUGCGGGGAAGGUUUUAUGACAAGACCCGAUUUAAAUCAACACAUACGCACCAUACAUGGCGGUGUAAAUCCGAAUUCAUCAAACACCGCCCCAGUGCCGUCCAAUAAUGCUGUCAUAACAUCCCAGCAGCAAACACAAACCAUACAACAAAUACACCAAACCCAAGCCCAAACUACACACCAACAGCAGCAACAACAACAGCAGACGCACCAGGUGCAAAGUGGCCAUCCACAAACCAUAACUGUGGUUAGUAAUCCCAACAAUUCGGCAUUGCUAACAGUAACCAAUGAUGCAAAUAAUCGACCACAAUUUGUUUGCCGGGAAUGCGGAAGUGCCUUUAACAGUCGCGAAGCUUUAGCUCUUCACCUGCGUUUACAUACUGGCGAUAAAAGCCUUAUGACAGAUUUGUGUGCUUUAACCGCUGCCUUGCCCACACAUCUCUUGAGCACGGGCAGUCUCAAUCCUGGCACAGCCACUGUGGUGUCCGCAAAUCCUAAUAUCAUAGCCCAAAACCAAAUGCCAGUUCAAAUCAUAUCAUCGACGGGUCAAGUUGUGUCACAGACAACAUUGGUGCAGGCCGCCGCUACGACUCAUCCCCAAAGUUUAGUUGCCACCAUGCCCCUGCAUCACCAACAGCAACAGCAGGCAGCGCAACAACAUUUACAAAAUGGCAAUCCCGCAGGCCAUCCCCAACAGCAGCAACAACCACAACAGCAACAACCGCAGCAGCAACAACAGCAGCAGCAACAAACACCCACCAAACCAAAAGCCCACUUCUGUGCCAGUUGCGGCAAAGGUUUUGCUGCCAAACAUGGCCUCAUGCAACACAAUCGCCGCCAUCCGAAUGGCGGUUGCACCGUACGCACCCAUGUCUGUGAGUGUGGCAAAGCAUUCUUCCAGAAGAAUCAUCUAAUGCUACAUCAGCGUCAACAUUUGGAAACAAAACCACCCAUUUCCCAGCAACAGCUUGAUUUUCUUCUUCGGCAGGAUCCCAAUGUCGUGCAACAGCAGCAGCAGCAGCAACAACAGCAGCAACAACAACAACAGCAACAGGCACAACAACAAUUAGCCCAACAACAACAGCAGCAGCAUCAACAGAAUUCUCAACAACAACAAAUGAGCACCCGAGAAGUUAUGAUUGGCAAUCAGGCGGUUCAUGUGCAAGUAUUACAGGGUACAAAUACAGCACAAGUUAUAAAAUAUGAAAUAAAUAUACCCCAAGAGAAUCAAGCCAUGGAAUAAAAGGACAAAGGAGCAGCAGCAGAAACCUAGAUAAGUGUUAUGGUGGUAUAUAUGGAGGAGCAAGAAGCAAAAUACACUUUCAGCACUAGCAACACUUCGCCCCUUAAAUCGGGGGACGACAAUGGAUCAAGUUCACUACUACUUAAUAAUAAAUACUGCAAAAAUACCACCAUUACCACCAUCACAAACUCCCUGCUUUUACCAUUGCCACCCACCAACGUUGCCACUUACCCUUUUGACAUGUGGAAGAAAGCAUUUACCAAACCCAGAGUUAUGGCGAGUUACCCUGGCCUCAUUUCUAUUGGGCAAUGGAGGGAAUGAUUUCAAGGAGUUUUCGCAAACGAUUUUUGUACAAAGUUUUUCCAAAUAGCCUAUGAAGCAACUUCCUUCUCAAAGCCAUUUGCGCUAGCCGAAAGUGUAAUUUGUUGAAUUGUUUAAGGCCAUCACAACUUUUAGUUAUAUCGCAGCAUAAUUAUUUUUUAAUGUUAUAUUAUUUAUAAAUAUAUAAAUAUUAAACAUAUACAUUGUAAAUUUUAGCUCUAAACUGAUAAAAAGUAAAAACCCACAACAAAACACAAUUUGAAUUAUUUUCCAAUUAGGCUUCUUCUAAUGGUCCCUCUCUGAUAUAAUUCGAUUUUUACAUUUUUUAUUUAUAUAUAUAUUUUUUUUAAGAAAAACAAAAAUUAAAUCUUAUAUGUGCAUUGGCGUAUACAUUUUCAAAUUCUUCCCUAGAUUUUUUUGAAAAAUUAAAAAAUAAAUAUAAAAAAAAACAUUUACAAAAAAAAAAUGCAGUGAUGUGUUGGUCGCAUCUAAAACUACCACCUCUCUUUUAAGCUUCAUCAGAGUUAUGUAAAAAGAAGAAAAGAAAAGUAUACAUACUUAUAGAAAGUAAAUAAAAAGUAAACACAGUGUAAAAAAAAAACAUGAAUAAUUUGCAAUUCUAAUUUGUAAAAAUUAAAUCACACCUACGCAUAGACACGGUCACAUAUAUGUAUUGCAUUGAUGUCAUUAGCAUAUAUAUACAUAUAGAAAGACAAGACAUUUUGGUUGGCCUACCAACUCCAGCUACACCCCCAACCCCACCACCUCAACACAAUCACUCAACUUUUAGGAAAGUCGAAAAACACCUUCAAUUUAUUUCAGCUCAAUUUUAAAGAUUUUUAGCCACACAUUUAUUGACCACAACAACAAUUUGCAUUUCAAUGAAGCCUAACGUUUUUUAGUUUCCGUUUCCGUUGACUUUUUUCUCUUGAACCAUUAGAUGGUAAAAUCUUUGAUCUUGUAUUUCAACCUUAAAAAUGAAUCACUUUGAAAAUGUGUACAAUUAGUUUUCGUUUCCCCUACUACACCUCUUUUGCCCCCCUAAAUAUACUUCUUUUCUUUUUUUUCCCCCUUUGGGUAAUCAAGGAGAAGAAACGUUUUUAGAUUUUGAAAUCAACGUUUCUUUCUCAAAACGUAAAAAAAGUAUGAAAACAUAUACAUGUCUUUUAAAAAGAACAAACACAUACACACAGGUACUAAAACAACACGAAGUUUAAGAUUUAAAAUAAAAACAAACAAAAAACAAAACUUAGUUUUACAACAAAACAAAAUGUUAUACAUAUUUAUAUAUAUAUAUCUAUUAUAUAUAAUUACCGAAGUAAACAACAAAAAAAAGAGAUAAAAGAAAAGAAUUAAGUUUUAAAUAACACAUCUGAGACACAGUCAGUCAUUGAGAAAGAAAAAAAAAACAAAAAAUAUAAA